UUUAAUUAGAGUUUGAUCCUAGCUCAGGGUGAACGCUGGCGGCGUGGAUGAGGCAUGCAAGUCGAAUGGGUUUAGACCCAUGGCAGACGAGGUAGGAACACGUAGGUACAUACCCCAAAGUCAGGGAUAACCUGGAGAAAUCCAGAAUAAUACUUGAUAGUCUCUUC
rnacentral:rRNA from 1 species